rnacentral:rRNA from 1 species
AUUUGGAAAAGCGGGAAACAAUGCGUUAUCUUUGCACCCGCUUUGCAAGAGAGACCAAGGGGUCCGAGCGAAAAAGCAGAGCAAUCUUUUUGGAGUAAGAGCUGACGAGAUCAGCACUUGAAAAAAAGAUGAAAAAUAAUUUUGGCGAAGAAAAAUAUUUGAUUUAUCUUUGCACUCGCUUUUGAAAAAAAGCAGGCAUCCCGAAGGGGGCCAUCGGCCGGUACAGUAGGUUCAUGAACGUACUAUACGGCAAAAAAAGAUCUUUGAAAUUAUUAAUGCAAAACCAAAAACAAGGUAAAAGCGGAUCCACAAGUCAAUUUCAAUAAUUUGGAGUCGGGAUUUUUUGUUUGAGGAUAUGUUCUUAAAAGAAAUUUUAUUUUAAAACUUUCCUACAACGAAGAGUUUGAUCCUGGCUCAGGAUGAACGCUAGCGACAGGCCUAACACAUGCAAGUCGAGGGGUAACAUGAGAGCUUGCUCUUGAUGACGACCGGCGCACGGGUGAGUAACGCGUAUGCAACCUUCCUUUAACAGGAGAAUAGCCCCCGGAAACGGGGAUUAAUGCUCUAUAGUAAUUAUUUGCCACCUGACAGAUAAUUUAAAGUUCCGACGGUUAAAGAUGGGCAUGCGUGACAUUAGCCAGUUGGCGGGGUAACGGCCCACCAAAGCAACGAUGUCUAGGGGUUCUGAGAGGAAGGUCCCCCACACUGGUACUGAGACACGGACCAGACUCCUACGGGAGGCAGCAGUGAGGAAUAUUGGUCAAUGGACGCAAGUCUGAACCAGCCAUGUCGCGUGCAGGAUGACUGCCCUAUGGGUUGUAAACUGCUUUUGUACGGGAAGAAAUAUACUUACGUGUAAGUAUUUGCCGGUACCGUACGAAUAAGCAUCGGCUAACUCCGUGCCAGCAGCCGCGGUAAUACGGAGGAUGCGAGCGUUAUCCGGAUUUAUUGGGUUUAAAGGGUGCGUAGGCGGAAUGGUAAGUCAGUGGUGAAAUCCUGCAGCUCAACUGUAGUUGUGCCAUUGAUACUGUCAUUCUUGAGUACAGAUGAGGUAGGCGGAAUGAGUAGUGUAGCGGUGAAAUGCAUAGAUAUUACUCAGAACACCAAUUGCGAAGGCAGCUUACUAAACUGACACUGACGCUGAAGCACGAAAGCGUGGGUAUCAAACAGGAUUAGAUACCCUGGUAGUCCACGCCGUAAACGAUGAUUACUGGUUGUUUGCGAUACACAGCAAGCGACUGAGCGAAAGCAUUAAGUAAUCCACCUGGGGAGUACGUCGGCAACGAUGAAACUCAAAGGAAUUGACGGGGGCCCGCACAAGCGGUGGAACAUGUGGUUUAAUUCGAUGAUACGCGAGGAACCUUACCUGGGUUUAAAUGGGAAGUGACAGGGGUAGAAAUACCUUUUUCUUCGGACACUUUUCAAGGUGCUGCAUGGUUGUCGUCAGCUCGUGCCGUGAGGUGUCGGGUUAAGUCCCAUAACGAGCGCAACCCCUGUUGUUAGUUACCAGCACAUCAUGGUGGGGACUCUAACAAGACUGCCGGUGUAAACCGCGAGGAAGGUGGGGAUGACGUCAAAUCAGCACGGCCCUUACAUCCAGGGCUACACACGUGUUACAAUGGCAGGUACAAAGGGCAGCUACACAGCGAUGUGAUGCUAAUCUCGAAAACCUGUCCCAGUUCGGAUUGAAGUCUGCAACCCGACUUCAUGAAGCUGGAAUCGCUAGUAAUCGCGCAUCAGCCAUGGCGCGGUGAAUACGUUCCCGGGCCUUGUACACACCGCCCGUCAAGCCAUGGAAGCCGGGAGUACCUGAAGUAUGUAACCGCAAGGAGCGUCCUAGGGUAAAACUGGUGACUGGGGCUAAGUCGUAACAAGGUAGCCGUACCGGAAGGUGUGGCUGGAACACCUCCUUUCU